rnacentral:tRNA from 1 species
GGAGAGGUGGCUGAGUGGUCGAAAGCGAACGACUCGAAAUCGUUUAAUAGGUAACUAUUCGUGGGUUCGAAUCCCACCCUCUCCGCCA